UCUGUGCGGUGAAAACCUAAUCACCUAUCCCUGCCCGUCCUCGAGCCCCAUGUCCCCUUCCCUUCCCUUCCGUGUGCACCGCCGCCUCUCCUCGCCCCCUCCCAUGCUCUCCAGUCUCCACCACCACGCCGCCCCUUGCUUCGCUUCUAUCCUCCUCUCGAUCCGGCGCCCAUGCACGCAGUGGUUACGGAUGGGAGAGCAUGGGAGGGCAGGGCCACACAGCGUGGGUGUGUAGGAGCAGGAAGAGGUGAGGAGGAUGACAGCGUGGGGAAAAGGAAGCCAGAUCGAAGUUCUCGGCAGCGCUCGCGUCGCCCUGCAGUCGAGGGACGUCGCAAACAAGCGAGGAGGAGGACAACGCCUGGAUUCAGCCCCGGCCCGGGCCCGGGCCUCGUGGAUCUGGCGAUGGUAUCGUGAGAGGCUUGGGCCUCCUUCCCGGACAAGGCGGUGCUGCUCGUGCUAGGCGACGGUUCAAGGGUAGGGUAGCAGUACUCUCUUGGUUGUAGCUGGGCCUUCAACCGGCCAGACAUGGAGCUCCAGCAUGCACGUGUGCCUACCCUCCUUGCCCAUGAGUACCUGCAACAACAGCAGAUACCGGUCAGAUAAAUACUACACAAAUCAUGUGCAUGGCCUAGCAGGUGAUAAUGGCGCCGCGAGGAUUCGCUGCCGUGAGGAGGACCCCGACCCGUAUGAUGGCCACCGGAAGGUCACACACUUCUUUGGCUCGCUCAGACUGGCUCCAUUGACAGCUUCUCUAAGGUAUAUUUGUUGGGUUCCUCUUGGCGUGUUGAACAAAAAUUGGCGUUCAGCACUGCUAUUUAAAGAUGGUUUGAUCAGUAGUAGGGAAAACCCAUAGAUGGAAGGAAAUUAUUGUAGGUAUCUAAGAAUGCUGAUGAGUACAAUCAGAGCAAGCCUCAGCUUGUACUAUAUCUAUGGGCUUAUGCAACUGCGGCCUAUGCAGGUGAACAAUACAAAGCUGAUACAAGGUUGGUGAUUUAAUAUUGAUUCAAGGCAACAUGGUCUACUAUGGUUGUUGCGCUUCCAUGUGAUCAUCUUCCAAAUUACGUGUUUCUUCAGGUUAACCAUUUGCAUGCUUUGGUUGGCAUUCUACCUUACAGUUCUAGGUUGAUGUCCCAUAGUUAGGUUGUUAAGAAAAUGGUUUAGUUCUUAGACAGACUGUAAGUAGUUGAUCUUAAAUAGCUAGAAAUCGAAUGGGGUUCUGAUUAGUUUGUUAAAUGAAUGGAGUUUUGGUCUAUCACUCGACAUGUAAAUUUAGAUUGGAAAGAUUCUUCAACCUCACCAUGGGAACAAUUUGAGUUGUGGGCAUCUUAAAUAACUACCCUGCCGUUUUGUCGGCUCUUGGUUCAAGCACUCGAAUAAAGAUAUGUUCUUUGUCAUAUCUUGUUUGGUUGUUUGUUGCUCUACUACUUUAUUGUUUGUUGUGGUCCCCCGUGGUAAUAAUUUUUAGGCUUUCAUUCGUGAGGAGAAAUGAUUUGGUUAAUGUUGUUUGUAUCAGUUAUAUAGUGAAUGUGAUGGUGCAAAUUGGUUGGGACCCACUUGCUUACAUUGUACGUAGCAGGAGAAAUGUUUUCUUGGAGCAAGGUUGUCAACUAGCUCAUCUAUGUUUCUAAGUGAACGCCUCUUUUGCUAUUGGUUGAAGGGAUAUGUUAAUUAUAAUAAUUGUACUGCCUCAUCUAUCAGUAUUUGUGUCAUUGCCUAUAUUGCAGUUCUGCCCAUGGUUGAAAUAUUGUGUCUUGAACUCUUGGUCGUUGAAAACCAGCCAUUAAAUGCAGUUUGAGCGGCAAUGAAAUUUUAACUGGCGUGUACAUGCGAUCUAUUGAUCAUAAUUCAUUACAUUACGAGCUUUUGAUGUGGUUAAUAGCUGGAAUUAUUUCAUCUUUGCGGCAUAAGGUGGCUGAAGUAGACGAGUGACUUUUAUUGCGUUACUUUAUGCCUUUCCCUUCCAUUUAAUGGCAAAUACAAUUCAAUAUUUUGAUGUCAAUAGUUCUUUUUCUAUUGCUUUGAUGUAUCCCAGCCUUUUGUCAUUCUGGAGUGUAUAGUCAAUGCUAAUAAUUUAAGAGCAAUCUCAAAAUGUUCGUUGAUCUGUUCUGGACUAUGGUUCAUCUAUCUAUGGUUGUAAUUGCAAAUGACAACUAUAAUAAAUGUUGCGCCUUUUUUCACCAUGCAUUUUGUAGAUGAUUCGGUUAUCUCUUUUCACCAUCUUGAAUGUGAGCUUGUUCCAAAUAGAUUUACCAAGCUAACUCUUGUAUCCUACAUUGCUAUUACAGAAACUAAAUUGCCCUUCAUAAAAUUCUGUAAACUCGAAAUGGAAAUGUUAAUAAUCAAUAUCAAUUACUGUGGGGUUUUCUUUGUUAGCACAAUUUUGGAAAUACGAGUGGUUGACUAAAAUAUCAAAAAACAAAAUUCCACUUUAAGUUUGAAAUUCAAAUUGGGAAAUGGGCACAUCAAUCAUAAAUAAUUAAUUUUAGCACUGAAAAUACCAGACAACCAAACUUCUAUUUUUGAAGCAAUUGCAAUUUUGUAGCUUACGUUUCCACAUUUUACCUGGUUGGAUUCAUGUUUUUGUUUAUCUAGGAUCUUAACCAAUGGAAAAUAGUUUAUUAUGCGUUGUUGCCAUUUUCUGUGUCAGCUUCGCCAUGUUUUUUUGUUAGUAAUUGAAACUGCAUGAACUUCAUUUAUGUUAUAUUUUGGUAGUGAAUCCUCUCAGCUGUACAAGUUUCACAAGCAAAGUUCAUGCACAUGUCCAUUAUUUAUGAGUUCGGGCGAAUUGUUUUUGUUGUGGUUGCCUUCUUUCAACUCUUCCUCGGCCAUAUUUGGAAUUAUAGGGUACCUAACCUCCAUCGUCCUAUUUCUGUUGCUGGACGUGACUUCAGGAUGGGACCAAACAUUCCUGGGCAAUAUCAAUAGGUCCACGACAAAAUCUCUAUUAGGUGCUUCUAUUCCUUUACCCAUGUCUCUUUUGGUGCUUCUAUUCCUUUACCCCUGUCUCUUUUGUCUCUUUUGAUUUUGAUUUCCUAAUGUAUGGUUUAUCUGACUACAAUGUACUAGGUCUGAGAAAGAAGACAAAUAGGAGGGUUUUUUGCGGGUGAGAAACAGGGGAAUGCGAUGGAAGAAUCUCAAAUUUAUCCUUACAUUUUGAUGUUUUAUAAAUAAACAACAAACAAUAUUUACUCCAUAUGUCGCCUGUUUAUUUAUUUAUUUAUUUAUUUAUUUAUGGACAAAGAGAGUACUUGAAUUAAGGUAAAUCACUAUUGGCUCAUACAUUACACUACUAUUAUCAUAA